GAUGAACGCUGGCGGCGUGCCUAACACAUGCAAGUCGAGCGAUUCUCUUCGGAGAAGAGCGGCGGACGGGUGAGUAGCGCGUGGGUAACCUGCCCUGUACACACGGAUAACAUACCGAAAGGUAUGCUAAUACGAGAUAAUAUACUUUUAUCGCAUGGUAGAAGUAUCAAAGCUUUUGCGGUACAGGAUGGACCCGCGUCUGAUUAGCUAGUUGGUAAGGUAACGGCUUACCAAGGCGACGAUCAGUAGCCGACCUGAGAGGGUGAUCGGCCACAUUGGAACUGAGACACGGUCCAAACUCCUACGGGAGGCAGCAGUGGGGAAUAUUGCACAAUGGGCGAAAGCCUGAUGCAGCAACGCCGCGUGAGCGAUGAAGGCCUUCGGGUCGUAAAGCUCUGUCCUCAAGGAAGAUAAUGACGGUACUUGAGGAGGAAGCCCCGGCUAACUACGUGCCAGCCGCCGCGGUAAGAC
rnacentral:rRNA from 1 species